rnacentral:rRNA from 1 species
AACGAACGCUGGCGGCAUGCCUAACACAUGCAAGUCGAACGAGCCCUUCGGGUCUAGUGGCGCACGGGUGCGUAACGCGUGGGAACCUGCCCUUAGGUUCGGAAUAACUCCCCGAAAGGGGUGCUAAUACCGGAUAAUGUCUUCGGCCCAAAGAUUUAUCGCCGUUGGAUGGGCCCGCGUUGGAUUAGCUAGUUGGUAGGGUAAAAGCCUACCAAGGCGACGAUCCAUAGCUGGUCUGAGAGGAUGAUCAGCCACACUGGGACUGAGACACGGCCCAGACUCCUACGGGAGGCAGCAGUGGGGAAUAUUGGACAAUGGGCGAAAGCAUGAUCCAGCAAUGCCGCGUGAGUGAUGAAGGCCUUAGGGUUGUAAAGCUCUUUUACCCGGGAUGAUAAUGACAGUACCGGGAGAAUAAGCGCCGGCUAACUCCGUG